UAUCGUGAGGUAGAAUCUAAAAGAAGCUGUAGGCAAAAUCUUGGUUCGACGAAUAGAAAUCACAUAUUAAGGAUGCAUAAAUUGGAUGAGUUUACUAGACAAAGUAAAGUCCAAUACUACACGAGGUUUAUAUAGUAAAUGUGGCAAGUGAUGAGAUGAAAGUG
rnacentral:ncRNA from 1 species